ACAUCUUUAGCUGAAUUGGGAAAGCGUUUUGCCUUCGAAGCAAUUGUAUAUUGGUUCAAAUCCAAUAGGAUGUA
rnacentral:tRNA from 1 species